rnacentral:rRNA from 1 species
GAUGAACGCUGGCGGCGUGCCUAAUACAUGCAAGUCGAGCGAACAGACGAGGAGCUUGCUCCUCUGACGUUAGCGGCGGACGGGUGAGUAACACGUGGAUAACCUACCUAUAAGACUGGGAUAACUUCGGGAAACCGGAGCUAAUACCGGAUAAUAUAUUGAACCGCAUGGUUCAAUAGUGAAAGACGGUUUUGCUGUCACUUAUAGAUGGAUCCGCGCCGCAUUAGCUAGUUGGUAAGGUAACGGCUUACCAAGGCAACGAUGCGUAGCCGACCUGAGAGGGUGAUCGGCGACACUGGAGCGGGAACACGGUCCAUGCUACUGCGGGAGGCAGCAGAAGGGAAUCUGCCGCAAUGGUCGAAAGCUUGACGGAGCAACGCCACGUGAGUUAUGAAGGUCUUCGGAUCGUAAAACUCUGUUAUUAGGGAAGAACAAAUUUGGAAGUAACUAUGCACUGCUUGACGGUACCUAAUCAGAAAGCCACGGCUAACUACGUG